rnacentral:rRNA from 1 species
UCCUACGGGACGCAGCAGUGGGGAAUAUUGCACAAUGGGGGAAACCCUGAUGCAGCGACGCCGCGUGAGUGAAGAAGUAUCUCGGUAUGUAAAGCUCUAUCAGCAGGAAAGAUAAUGACGGUACCUGACUAAGAAGCUCCGGCUAACUACGUGCCAGCAGCCGCGGUAAUACGUAGGGAGCAAGCGUUAUCCGGAAUUAUUGGGUGUAAAGGGUGCGUAGACGGGACAGCAAGUUAGUUGUGAAAGCCCUCGGCUUAACUGAGGAACUGCAACUAAAACUAUUGUUCUUGAGUGCAGGAGAGGAA